UUCCUACGGGAGGCAGCAGUGGGGAAUUUUGGACAAUGGGGGCAACCCUGAUCCAGCCAUUCCGCGUGAGUGAAGAAGGCCUUCGGGUUGUAAAGCUCUUUCGCAAGGGAAGAAAACUUAUGAUCGAAUAAAUCAUGAGGUUGACGGUACCUUGAUAGACCUCG
rnacentral:rRNA from 1 species